AUACACAAAUAAUGAUGAUAAUGAUGAUGGUGAUAAUCAUCAUCAUCAUCAUCAUCAUCAUCACCACCA
rnacentral:miRNA from 1 species